UACGUAGGGUGCGAGCGUUAAUCGGAAUUACUGGGCGUAAAGCGUGCGCAGGCGGUUUUGUAAGCCAGGUGUGGAAUCCCCGGGCUUAACCUGGGAAUGGCAUUUGGGACUGCAAGGCUGGAGUGUGGCAGAGGAGACUGGAAUUCCUGGUGUAGCAGUGAAAUGCGUAGAUAUCAGGAGGAAUACCGAUGGCGAAGGCAGGGCUCUGGGCUGACACUGACGCUCAGGCACGAAAGCGUGGGGAGCAAACAGG
rnacentral:rRNA from 1 species